rnacentral:rRNA from 1 species
UACGUAGGGGGCAAGCGUUAUCCGGAUUUACUGGGUGUAAAGGGGGCGCAGACGGCAGCGCAAGCCAGGAGUGAAAGCCCGGGGCCCAACCCCGGGACUGCUCUUGGAACUGCGCGGCUGGAGUGCAGGAGGGGCAGGCGGAAUUCCUGUGUAGCGGUGAAAUGCGUAGAUAUCAGGAGGAACACCGGUGGCGAAGGCGGCCUGCUGGACUGCGACUGACGUUGAGGCCCGAAAGCGUGGGGAGCAAACAGG